CAGUGCCGCAGCUAACGCAUUAAGCAUUCCGCCUGGGGAGUACGACCGCAAGGUUGAAACUCAAAGGAAUUGACGGGGGCCCGCACAAGCGGUGGAGCAUGUGGUUUAAUUCGAAGCAACGCGAAGAACCUUACCAGGUCUUGACAUCUUUUGAUCACCUGAGAGAUCAGGUUUCCCCUUCGGGGGCAAAAUGACAGGUGGUGCAUGGUUGUCGUCAGCUCGUGUCGUGAGAUGUUGGGUUAAGUCCCGCAACGAGCGCAACCCUUAUGACUAGUUGCCAGCAUUUAGUUGGGCACUCUAGUAAGACUGCCGGUGACAAACCGGAGGAAGGUGGGGAUGACGUCAAAUCAUCAUGCCCCUUAUGACCUGGGCUACACACGUGCUACAAUGGAUGGUACAACGAGUUGCGAGACCGCGAGGUCAAGCUAAUCUCUUAAAGCCAUUCUCAGUUCGGACUGUAGGCUGCAACUCGCCUACACGAAGUCGGAAUCGCUAGUAAUCGCGGAUCAGCACGCCGCGGUGAAUACGUUCCCGGGCCUUGUACACACCGCCCGUCACACCAUGAGAGUUUGUAACACCCGAAGCCGGUGGCGUAACCC
rnacentral:rRNA from 2 species